rnacentral:rRNA from 1 species
UGGGGAAUAUUGCGCAAUGGGGGAAACCCUGACGCAGCAACGCCGCGUGAAGGAUGAAGGUUUUCGGAUUGUAAACUUCUUUGAUGAGGGACGAACACAAUGACGGUACCUCAAAAACAAGCCACGGCUAACUACGUGCCAGCAGCCGCGGUAAUACGUAGGGUGCAAGCGUUGUUCGGAAUCACUGGGCGUAAAGAGAGCGUAGGCGGGAUUGUAAGUUAGGAGUUUAAUGCAUGGGCUUAACCCAUGAUCUGCUUUUAAUACUGCAGUUCUUGAGUAUGGGAGAGGGUGAUGGAAUUCCAGGUGUAGCGGUGGAAUGCGUAGAUAUCUGGAAGAACACCAGUAGCGAAGGCGGUCGCCUGGCCCAAUACUGACGCUGAGGCUCGAAAGCUAGGGGAGCAAACAGG